rnacentral:snRNA from 1 species
AUACUUACCUUGGCCAACCUCCGGGAGAUCACGAAUUCCUAGGGGUAGGGUGACUAACCUUCAUUGCACAUCGAGGAGUUUGGUUGUCUUUAAUUGCCCUUCGGGGUCGUUAUGGCCGCAAUUUUUGAUGUUUACCUC